rnacentral:misc_RNA from 1 species
UCCGGCUUAACGCCGGCAGUCCCCCUAGAGUGCCCAACUGAAUGGUGGCAACUAAAGGCAAGGGUUGCGCUCGUUGCGGGACUUAACCCAACAUCCCACGACACGAGCUGACGACAGCCAUGCAGCACCUGUGUUCCUCCCACCCGAAGUGAAGGAUUCCAUCUCUGGAAUCCAUAGAGGACAUGUCAAGGGCUGGUAAGGUUCUUCGCGUUGCUUCGAAUUGAACCACAUGCUCCACCGCUUGUGCGGGCCCCCGUCAAUUCCUUUGAGUUUUAAUCUUGCGACCGUACUCCCCAGGCGGAAUGCUUAAUGCGUUAGCUGCGCCACUGACAGGCAAGCCUGACAACGGCUAGCAUUCAUCGUCUACGGCGUGGACUAC